GGUUAAGCGACUAAGCGUACACGGUGGAUGCCCUGGCAGUCAGAGGCGAUGAAGGACGUGCUAAUCUGCGAUAAGCGUCGGUAAGGUGAUAUGAACCGUUAUAACCGGCGAUUUCCGAAUGGGGAAACCCAGUGUGAUUCGUCACACUAUCAUUAACUGAAUCCAUAGGUUAAUGAGGCGAACCGGGGGAACUGAAACAUCUAAGUACCCCGAGGAAAAGAAAUCAACCGAGAUUCCCCCAGUAGCGGCGAGCGAACGGGGAGCAGCCCAGAGCCUGAAU
rnacentral:rRNA from 1 species